UGCUGUGAACUCGAAGAGUAGGGCGGGACACGUGGUAUCCUGUCUGAAUAUGGGGGGACCAUCCUCCAAGGCUAAAUACUCCUGACUGACCGAUAGUGAACCAGUACCGUGAGGGAAAGGCGAAAAGAACCCCGGCGAGGGGAGUGAAAAAGAACCUGAAACCGUGUACGUACAAGCAGUGGGAGCCUCUUUAUGGGGUGACUGCGUACCUUUUGUAUAAUGGGUCAGCGACUUAUAUUCUGUAGCAAGGUUAACCGUAUAGGGGAGCCGAAGGGAAACCGAGUCUUAACUGGGCGUUAAGUUGCAGGGUAUAGACCCGAAACCCGGUGAUCUAGCCAUGGGCAGGUUGAAGGUUGGGUAACACUAACUGGAGGACCGAACCGACUAAUGUUGAAAAAUUAGCGGAUGACCUGUGGCUGGGGGUGAAAGGCCAAUCAAACCGGGAGAUAGCUGGUUCUCCCCGAAAGCUAUUUAGGUAGCGCCUCGUGAACUCAUCUUCGGGGGUAGAGCACUGUUUCGGCUAGGGGGCCAUCCCGGCUUACCAACCCGAUGCAAACUACGAAUACCGAAGAAUGUUAUCACGGGAGACACACGGCGGGUGCUAACGUCCGUCGUGAAGAGGGAAACAACCCAGACCGCCAGCUAAGGUCCCAAAGUCAUGGUUAAGUGGGAAACGAUGUGGGAAGGCACAGACAGCCAGGAUGUUGGCUUAGAAGCAGCCAUCAUUUAAAGAAAGCGUAAUAGCUCACUGGUCGAGUCGGCCUGCGCGGAAGAUGUAACGGGGCUAAACCAUGCACCGAAGCUGCGGCAGCGACACUAUGUGUUGUUGGGUAGGGGAGCGUUCUGUAAGCCGUUGAAGGUGGCCUGUGAGGGUUGCUGGAGGUAUCAGAAGUGCGAAUGCUGACAUAAGUAACGAUAAAGCGGGUGAAAAGCCCGCUCGCCGGAAGACCAAGGGUUCCUGUCCAACGUUAAUCGGGGCAGGGUGAGUCGACCCCUAAGGCGAGGCCGAAAGGCGUAGUCGAUGGGAAACAGGUUAAUAUUCCUGUACUUGGUGUUACUGCGAAGGGGGGACGGAGAAGGCUAUGUCAGCCGGGCGACGGUUGUCCCGGUUUAAGCAUGUAGGCGGAGGUUCCAGGUAAAUCCGGUACCUUAUUAACGCUGAGGUGUGAUGACGAGGCACUACGGUGCUGAAGUGAUAAAUGCCCUGCUUCCAGGAAAAGCCUCUAAGCAUCAGGUAACACGAAAUCGUACCCCAAACCGACACAGGUGGUCAGGUAGAGAAUACCAAGGCGCUUGAGAGAACUCGGGUGAAGGAACUAGGCAAAAUGGUGCCGUAACUUCGGGAGAAGGCACGCUGAUGUGUAGGUGAAGCCCCUGCGGG
rnacentral:rRNA from 1 species